ACGUCACGACACUCAGUAUCAUAUAAAAAAGCAGCAAAAGGCGUUACACUCACUAUGAUUGGACAAUCAUUGGAAUGGGGCCUGUCAGAGACCAAUCAGAGCCAAAGUAACAAACGCCUUCGUCGCAUAGAAAUAUCGCGCCUUUUUCGAAGCCCAGAUGAAUUGUUGACGUCGUGAGAAAACAGUCGCAAAUAUCUGGCUCCAGCGGUUCUCUAGAGCGUCACUUUUUAACAGAAGGGUCACAAAAACAAAUACAGGCAUGGACUCCAAGCGGAAGCCUCCGUCCUCUGCUGGACCAAGCUCCAAAAGAACCCGGAUUGACUUUGACGAUGAUCCGUCCACAUUUGAGGAAGAGUUGGCCCUUUUAGAGCAAGUGGAGGCCGAGAUGUCUCAGGUGUCCUCAGCAGGCUCACAACAGUCAGCAGGGUCUGGGAGUCAGACAGCGGGGCAUAUCCCAGCAACGUCCAAGCUGGCUCAGCACUGGAACCCCAAGUGGAUCAGACCAGCAUGUUCUCCCCCAAAUCCAAAGAAAGAUGCCGUCGUCUUUCAGCAGAUUGACCUGGAGCACUACCUAGGCAGUCCACUCAAAGGCAUGCCAGGGUCAUCUGUUGGCCCCGUGCCCAUCAUCCGUGUCUUUGGUAUCACCAUGGAAGGUCACAGCAUCAUGUGUCACAUCCACGGCUUUGCGCCUUAUUUCUAUGUCCCGGCCCCCGAGAAUUUCCAGCCGGAGCACUGCCGCAAUUUCAAGGACGCCCUCAAUCAGGCGGUGAUCGGCGACAUGCGGUCCAACAAGGACAACCUCUCACAGGCUGUGCUGGCCGUUGAACCGGUCGUGAAAGAAAGUAUCUACGGUUACCAUGGUCCAGAUGGAAAGAGAAAGUUCUUGAAGAUAACCGUAGCUUACCCUAAGCUAAUUGCUCCAGCCAAACGCCUUCUAGAAUCAGGCUUCACUGUUCCCAACCUCUACCCAGUCAGGGGUUAUCAGACAUAUGAGAGCAACAUCGACUUUGAAAUUAGAUUCAUGAUUGACACGGAUGUCUUGGGCUGUAACUGGCUGGAAAUCCCAGCCAAUCAGUACCAUCUGCGUGCCGAGGGUACCAUCCCUGCUCCCGUCUCACAGUGUCAGAUUGAACUGGACGUGGCUUACGAUUGUUUCAUCAGCCACCCAGCCGACGGCGACUGGCAGAAGGUUGCGCCUUUCCGAAUCCUCAGCUUUGACAUUGAGUGUGCCGGCAGGCGAGGAGUAUUUCCAGAACCCAACAAGGAUUCUGUAAUCCAGAUCUCUAACAUGGUCAUCAGGCAAGGCGAGAGGGAUCCUUUUAUUCGUAACGUCUUCACGCUGAACACCUGCGCACCCAUUGUGGGCUCGCAAGUUCUGUCCUUCAGCAAUGAAGCUGACAUGCUCAAGGCGUGGUCCGAAUUUGUCAACACAGUCGACCCAGACAUCUUGACGGGUUAUAACAUUGUGAACUUUGACCUGCCCUAUCUGCUCAACCGUGCUGCUGCCCUCAAGGUUGCUUCAUUUCCAUUGUUAGCACGCAUCAAAGAUUCUCGUAGCGUCAUCAAGGAAUCCACCUUCCAGUCCAAGCAGAUGGGUAAACGAGAGAACAAAGUCAUCAACAUCGAAGGACGAGUACAGUUUGAUCUUCUGCAGAUCCUUCAGCGAGACUACAAGCUGCGUUCUUACCGCCUCAACGCUGUCAGUUACCACUUCCUCCAAGAGCAGAAAGAAGAUGUGCAGCACUCCAUCAUUACUGAUCUCCAGAAUGGAAACGACCAGACCAGACGACGCUUGGCCGUCUAUUGUCUCAAAGAUGCCAUGCUGCCAUUGCGUCUUCUUGACAAGCUCAUGUGCAUCAUUAACUACAUGGAAAUGGCCAGAGUCACUGGUGUUCCCUUGCCGUAUUUGCUCAUACGGGGGCAGCAGAUCAAAGUGGUGUCGCAGCUCUUAAGAAAGGCCAAGGAGCAAGAUCUGGUCAUGCCAGCACGCAAAGUAGAAACCGGAGAAGACUACACAGGGGGUUACGUCAUCGACCCAACCAGAGGAUACUAUAAGAUUCCGAUAGCGACGCUAGAUUUCUCUUCCCUGUAUCCGUCGAUCAUGCAAGCCCACAACCUGUGCUACACAUCGCUACUGUCUCCUGGUCAAAGAGAGAAGAUGUCUGCUGAUGAGUACAUCAAGACACCUUCUGGAAACUACUUUGUCAAGAGCUCCGUUCGCAAGGGUAUCCUCCCGGAAAUCUUGGAAGAUCUUCUCAGUGCCCGAAAAAGGGCCAAAGCUGACUUGAAGAAGGAGACGGACCCCUUGAGGAAGAAGGUGUUAGACGGGCGUCAGCUGGCCCUCAAACUCAGCGCCAACUCGGUGUAUGGAUUUACAGGGGCACAGGUUGGCAAAUUACCUUGCCUGGAGAUCUCUCAGAGCGUGACAGCAUUUGGUCGCACAAUGAUUGAAAGGACACGACAACUUGUGGAAGAAAAUUACACCAUAGAGAGAGGGUACAAACACAAUGCAGAGGUGAUCUAUGGUGACACCGAUUCUGUCAUGGUCAAGUUUGGAGUUGAUACUGUAGCCGAGAGCAUGGCCCUAGGCAAAGAGGCUGCCGAAAUGGUCUCCGGUACCUUCCCUCAUCCAAUCAAACUGGAGUUUGAAAAGGUGUACUUUCCCUAUCUGUUGAUUAACAAGAAGAGGUACGCUGGUCUGUUUUACUCCAGACCAGACACCUAUGACAAGAUGGACUGUAAGGGGAUUGAGACGGUCCGACGUGACAACUGCCCUCUAGUGGCCAACCUGAUCAAUUCCUGCCUAAAGAAAAUUCUCAUUGACAGGGAUCCGGAGGGAGCUGUAGACCAUGCUAAGCAGACAAUCUCGGACCUCCUCUGCAAUCGAAUUGACAUCUCUCAGCUAGUAAUCACCAAAGAGUUGACCAAAACGGGUGAUGAAUACGCCGGCAAACAGGCACACGUCGAGCUGGCUGAGAGAAUGAGGAAACGUGAUCCAGGCAGCGCCCCGGCCUUAGGAGACAGAGUGCCUUAUGUUAUCAUUGCAGGAGCCAAGGGAGCAGCUGCUUACGAAAAGUCUGAGGAUCCCAUCUACGUGUUGGAAAACAACAUCCCCAUAGACACGCGCUAUUACCUUGACAACCAGCUCAAGAUGCCUCUGCUCAGGAUUUUUGAACCUGUAGUUGGUGAACACAAAGCAACUGAUAUGCUCUUCAAAGGGGAACAUACCCUGACAAAAACCAAAGUCACGUCCAAGGUUGGUGGUCUGAUGGCAUUCACCAAGAAACGCAGCACUUGCAUCGGUUGCAAGACACCGCUAGAUAAAGACAACUCCUCUGUCUGUAAACACUGCAAGAGCAUCGAGACAGAAAUCUAUCAGAAGGAGGUUAUCCAUUUGAGUGCUUUGGAGGAGAAGUUUGGACGCUUAUGGACGCAGUGCCAAAGGUGCCAGGGGAGUUUACAUGAAGACAUCUUGUGCACCAGUCGUGAUUGUCCGAUUUUUUACAUGAGGAAGAAAGUGCAGAAGGACUUAGCUGACCAAGACGCUAUCAUCAAGCGGUUUGGGCUGCCUGUCUGGUGAGGCUUGGAAACUUGAAGGUGUGAGCGAAGGAAACACUGCCCUCCGCGGACGCAAAGGCCAGGCAGCCAGUCAGUGGAUGUGUUUACCUCCAAGGAGCAAAACUGAAACACCUACCCAAAGACGUCGCCGUUACGUUUACAGGUUGUAUCAUAGAUAUGCUUGAAGAUUCAUAAGUGCCAGAGAAAAAAUCUAUUACGAGAGAAGUUAGCCCUAGAAAUGAUGCGACUGCCCGCUAAUAACACAGCAUCAGAUAACAGUCUUUCGAUUGUUGUAAAUUUCAGUAGCUGUUCGCAGUUUCAUCUUUCGGAGUUUUGAUGAGUACGUAGCGUGGAUUUCCUUCAUUUUUAUGGUUUAUUUACAACUUUCAGUUUGUAUAAUUAAUAUGUCCGAUUGUUAGUGAUCAAUAACGACACCACAUGGUCUAUAAACACCCUAAAGUGUAAAAUCAACACCACAACUUUUUCAGUGCAUUAUCUCCACCAGCUGGAAGUGAACACAUAGAAGCUUUUCGUGGUAGCCGUCUUGCAGGGCAGUUGCUUUGUUCAACAGAAAAGCCUCCUAUGUGCAUAACCUAUGGAACACUAAGCACUGGUCUGCAAGAUGGCAGCCAUGCAAACCCUCAUGCUAACGCCGUGCAUUGUCGUAGAAACGAUAUCGAUCCUAUGCUCAGAAAAUGUUUCUACUAGAUAAUUUUCGACUGAAUUCGACAAAGUGACAAGGUGUAAGUUGGAAAAUGGUGCAAUUAAAGAAAUUGCCAGCCCUGAAACUUGCUUCAUUGACCGUGGAAGUACAUUUCUUGUUUAACAAAAUGAAAAAAAGCGUCGGUUACAAAGUUUUGUCUGUGUUUGUUGUUUAUAGACCCAUGCAUGGAGCUCUUCGGGGCAGUGAAGGGUUUGAUGACGUUGCGGGGUUGAUGACGUUGCGGGGUUGAUUUGCCUAAUCUUGCAAACAAGCCAUCCUGAUCUGCCUUAGGCAUUUCAGGGCAUGACCAUAUUUGGUAUUCUUGACAAGCGCGAAUCUCUAAAAGAAAUUCAGCCUUUUGCAAUCGGGGGCAAAUCUAGGUACAUUCCCUUCGCUCUGCAUGUAGUGUGUAUCUCAUGUGUGCUUUGUUACCAGCGCUGUGUACAUGUAUGUUCCUUCCACGUUAACGCCGCCUAUUUUGCAUGACAAAAAAUGGCCUACGAAAGUAAUUUGUGUUUAUGGAACGAGCACAGGAAUAUUUUCUGACAAUAUUUUGACGUUUCUUUGGGUUGCAGGUGAACAUCCUGCUGAUAGCUCUUGAUGCGUUUUUAGUUGAGCCCGGGGCAGCCACGUGGCCAACUUUGGGCCUUGGGAAGGGGCAUAGUACCUGCUAAUUAGAGGGUGCAUUGCCAGAUCAUAGAUAAUUUUGAUGUUUGUGGUUUUUCUCGAUGGCGGGCAGCUGUUUGCCAGGGUGCCCAGGCCCUCCGGGCAUCCCUCUCCGCUCCCCGUAUAUAGCGACGGGCUAGGCCCAAGGCGGGGCCUAGCAUGUCGUGAAGGCCUUGUAUGCCUUAGAGUCUGUUUGGAAUACGGCCUGUUUUGUCAAACUCUAUCUUUGGGCCGGAGGGGGGGGGCGCUGUACUGGUGCCAGGUUGUGAUAAAACGUUGGGCACUCAAAACUCUUUCUACGCAGGAAAGACAAUCCGAGCCAAAACAAACUGCGAAGUCUUUCAUCGCUGGUAGCUCCACGGCUCCACGCGUAACUAUGCACAUAACACACAUAAAAACAACACAAUCUUGUUAUUCAACAUAAAUUCUCCUUUUUAUUCUGGAAAAUGCAAGCCGACACUAACUUCAGAAGUAAAAAUUGCUUCAUAAAACCUGCAAUUUGUAUAUUUUGAAAGAAAAGGGGAAAAUUCUGAGUCGGGUCCUGAUGAAAACAAUUCGUCGAUCUUUCCACGAAGGAACGAAUUUUUGAUAUCACUAGAAAAGAUUUUUGGAGAAAAUCGCGUUUGGAGUUGGUCUUUAUUUCAAACGCUUAUUUCCCCAGUAUUCAGAAUGCUCUUGACAUAAGUAAUGCUACUACAUGAUAGAGGGGAUCCUAAAUGACACAAAACCACCAAACAGUAUUUAUAGAAGUCAAUUAAAAUUGUUUAUUUUGUAAACAAACCAAUUCGUCUCUUCGUAAAAACGCUAAAAUUCAUGCGACUUUUGUCUAUUCGUAAAAACGCGUGCUAUUUUGCCCUAGUGCGUGCCAGGUGCAAAAUUUUUACAUUUGUGCACAUUUCCAUGGUAAACCUCGUCAUUUCGUAAAAACGGUGAAACGGAUAUUGCCAUGAAUUUGCCUUUUAUUUCUAACCCUAUAUCUAUGGAAGAAAAGUUUGCCUCUUCGUGAAAACGCAAAAUGCGGUUUAGUUUUAAUUUGCUCCAGGUAGAUCAUUAUGAUUUGGCUGAUUUCAAUAGAUUUGGGGAAAGUUAUCAUACCAAGUUGCAGGCAUCGCAUAGCUUAUUUAAUUUUGGGCAAAAAAGCAGAAAUUUGAAGAAAAUCAAUGUUUUGGGCCAAAGUGUUUCUUCGUACACCUGAGGUGUAUGGGUCAGUAACACCAAAGAGCUUUUCUACGCUCAGAAAAAAGUCCAGCAGUCUACCAAAAUUUCAAGAUUUGAGUAUGUAAGAGUCGUUCUUUGACUCCAGUUAGCAAUGUCUUUCUCUGGAGGGAGUAAUAUUUGUGAUAAUUGGUGUAGUUAAGAUCUCCGAUAUGAAAUGAAGCAACUCCCGAUAGGGAAAUUGUGAAUAUUGAGCCAGUUGAGUGCGACCCAGAAUCGUUUAAAUAAACAUAGAUUUUCUUACUCAAACGUCAUUUUCAAAGCCUAAUAUUUCUGGACGGCUCGACUGAAAAAAAGAGAGAGUGCUUCCUUGUCUUUCUGCAAGUUUGUGGAUAACCAAUUUUUAAAAUUUUACAGCGCUCUUUUGUUAAGGCUGGUUCUGAAAAGGAGGCGGAGCUUCGCGCUUCCACAGGCAACAAAAGAAGCGGGGUAUAUAGCGUCAUGUGGUCGGGAUGAGAAUGGGGAAAUCCCCGGACAGGAACGGGGCAUGCGUAGUGACAGUGUGGACCCACUCCGGAAGCUCUGCGGCCUGAUACUGUUUUCAUAAACGUUAUUGUUUAAAAAUUGAAUAUUUUU